GUCAAACCCAAACACACACUGGACCUAACAGAUGCCUCAGAUCUGGUCGACUGCACAAGUCCGAUCAGUGGUAACAGCAACAGUGGAACUCCAUCUUUCCUUCUGAAGCAGUCGCUCCUGCCUCAGUCCUCUUCUGUGUCUGG